rnacentral:tRNA from 1 species
GGGCGCAUAGCUCAGUUGGUUAGAGCGCAGCGUUCACAUCGCUGAGGUCGAAGGUUCGAGCCCUUCUGUGCCCA